rnacentral:lncRNA from 1 species
UUCUCCCUUGAAAAUUUUUCUAGUGUUGUUAUCAAUGCUGAAUUGAAGAUCGGGAUGCAUUGUAAGAACUGCGCAAAACGUGUCAGAGAAGUAGUUUUCUACUUGAAUGGCAAGAAAUAAGAUUUUUUGUUCACAAUAUACAUUUACUCAGUUGAUGGUAAUUAUAUAGUGUUGACGUUAUAAUAAUCGCUUUAUUGAUAUGUUAUAAUAUAUUAGGAGUUCGACAAUGUGAUGUGCAUCUAGAUACUCAAAAGGUUAUGGUCGCUGGUGAUUUUAAUUUAGAUGAGGUGGUGGAAACUGUUAAGAGAAAACUUGGUAAAAGAGCAGAAGUUUUGACAUCGACUAAGAAAUCUGAUGUAGUUUCAAAUGAAGAUGGUGAAUUUGAAAUAGUUCCAGAAAAAAAUGAAGAAGCUGAAAUAGUUCUGGAGAAGAAUGAAGAACCUAAAUUAAUUCCAGAGAAAAAUGAAGGACCUGAAAUAGUUCUAGAGAAGAAUGAAGAAUCUAAUAUAGGCCUUCAAAAGGAAGCAAAUCCCAAUGGAUGCACUAUCCAGUAAAUCUAGUCGAAACAUGUAAUCACCAUAAAGAACUUGGCAUGGUGAUAUGGACCUUGUCGAUCUUGAGAAGGUUUAAGUGUUUGAUUCACCGUGUUAUAUAUAAUAAGACAAAUGGAACAUGAUUUCUUUUUUAUUACUUCUUUAGUAUUUUUUAUUAAUGAUGCAAUUAGAAGAUUUCAUUGUCAGUAUAGUGUGAUUUAGUUUGAGUGGACAGAAAAGUCAUCAUCAUUAAAAAGCAUUCUAAAAAAAGUGUGGAAAGAAUCUCAUAUAAGAAAUUAUGACAUAUAGUAGAUAAUGUAAGAAUGGUUAGCAAUCAUUAAAGAUGGGUUAUUUUAUUUCGAUGAGUUAUUAUUAAAAUUGAAGCACAAAUAUAGAUUUGUCUAUAUCAAAUAUGAAUUUAGAGGUAAGAGCUAAUUUGUGACUACCAAAACUAUCAAGGGGGUUACACCAAAUGUGAGAUCAGUUGCUCCUAGUAUUUAUGUCAUUGUAUUAGAUAUUUUGAUUUCUCAAUUAAAUAGAUCUAUGAGUAUAACUGAAGAGGGAGAUGGACGAUACAUAGAUAAGAAGAGGUGAAGAGACAAUUGCAUUUCAAAAACUUAUUGCAACUCACAAAACCAAACCUACAAGAGGACAAUGCAUGUGGUACAAAGAAGUGAAACAAUCACGCACACCGGUAGAGACUAUGGUAAUGCAUCAAAAACCGACCAAAAAAUUGUCAACAAUAUAAUAUGUGUCCCAUAAGUCUUGAAGAAAAGAUCAAUUUUAAUCCAUAACAUAACUCAGCUUCCCGAUGAAGCAAUGAUAUUACAAAGAAGGAGAACGUAAAAACACGAUAGUUAGAGAAGUCAUACUGUUGACCUUCCAAUCCGGUUAAACACAAAGAAAAAUCAUGUAAAUAACAUUGAAACUUACGUCAACACAGAAGCACCAUCACCAUCAAUGUAACUAUCAGAUUUGAGCUAAUAGCCUUGAAAUCAAACAUAUCGAAAAAUGAAAAGGUAAAAUUUGAAAGGAUUGGCUUUGAAAGCUGUCAGUCACUGGUCCUUCAAUCAGAGAUGAAAGAAAAAAGAACUUACCGGCUAGUGUUUAUGGAGAGAAAUCCAAUGAAAUAAAAAGAAAAAAAAAAAUCAUGGAAAGUAUAGAGACCUAUUAACUUCGACCACGUGGGUAAGCUCGGCCCGUACAGUAAACCCGAUAACCAUUUCUUUAGCCGGUUCGAUAUCUCCUGAACCUGAUCUAGGAUCCGAAUUUAGACCGGGUCUAAAACCAAUAAUAAUUUCAUCGAAAGAGACCAACGAGGAGUCGAGAGAGACAGAGACAGAGACAACAAUGGCACCUUCGUCGUCGAGCGGUUUGACCUUCAAGCUCCACCCUCUAGUAAUCGUCAACAUAUCGGAUCACUACACCAGGGUUAAGACUCAGCUCAACCCUCCGCCUUCAGUCUGCGCCACCGAGAACAACGGCGAAGCAAUGCUGCAGCCGAACCCUAGGGUUUACGGAUGCGUGAUCGGCGUCCAGAGAGGCCGAACUGUCGAGAUCUUCAACAGCUUCGAGCUUUUGUUCGAUCCUUCCUCUGAAACCCUCGAUAGGUCCUUCCUCGAGAAGAAGCAAGAGCUCUGUAAGCUCUCUCUCUCUCCCUCUCUCUCUUCUUCUUUUGUCUGGGUUUUGAUUGAUUCUUCUUGUUUUUUUUAAUCAGACAAGAAAGUGUUCCCUGACUUCUAUGUUUUGGGAUGGUACUCUACGGGGAAUGACGCUGAGGAGUCUGAUAUGCUUAUCCAUAAAGCCGUGAGUUUUCAAAGUGUUUUUUUUUUUUUUGUAGGAUUAAGAUUUGAUCAGUUAUUUAUUUAUUUAUUUUUUAUUGUUAAAGUUCAACUUUUUCAUAAGAGGUGUUAUACGGUGAGAAGAUUAUUAGAACUAGUGUUUUUUGUUUGGAAUUCGAAUAUGGUGGGUUGCUUCUGGUCAAAGAGAUCACCACCCGUAUAUAAUUCAAAUAGGUACAGUGACUUAUAUCUCUACGUUUUAUGUAAUUUGAAUAAGAGUUUUUAUUACUCUUCUUACAUACUAACUGACACACUUUUCUCCCUUGAAAAUUUUUCUAGUGUUGUUAUCAAUGCUGAAUUGAAGAUCGGGAUGCAUUGUAAGAACUGCGCAAAACGUGUCAGAGAAGUAGUUUUCUACUUGAAUGGCAAGAAAUAAGAUUUUUUGUUCACAAUAUACAUUUACUCAGUUGAUGGUAAUUAUAUAGUGUUGACGUUAUAAUAAUCGCUUUAUUGAUAUGUUAUAAUAUAUUAGGAGUUCGACAAUGUGAUGUGCAUCUAGAUACUCAAAAGGUUAUGGUCGCUGGUGAUUUUAAUUUAGAUGAGGUGGUGGAAACUGUUAAGAGAAAACUUGGUAAAAGAGCAGAAGUUUUGACAUCGACUAAGAAAUCUGAUGUAGUUUCAAAUGAAGAUGGUGAAUUUGAAAUAGUUCCAGAAAAAAAUGAAGAAGCUGAAAUAGUUCUGGAGAAGAAUGAAGAACCUAAAUUAAUUCCAGAGAAAAAUGAAGGACCUGAAAUAGUUCUAGAGAAGAAUGAAGAAUCUAAUAUAGGCCUUCAAAAGGAAGCAAAUCCCAAUGGAUGCACUAUCCAGUAAAUCUAGUCGAAACAUGUAAUCACCAUAAAGAACUUGGCAUGGUGAUAUGGACCUUGUCGAUCUUGAGAAGGUUUAAGUGUUUGAUUCACCGUGUUAUAUAUAAUAAGACAAAUGGAACAUGAUUUCUUUUUUAUUACUUCUUUAGUAUUUUUUAUUAAUGAUGCAAUUAGAAGAUUUCAUUGUCAGUAUAGUGUGAUUUAGUUUGAGUGGACAGAAAAGUCAUCAUCAUUAAAAAGCAUUCUAAAAAAAGUGUGGAAAGAAUCUCAUAUAAGAAAUUAUGACAUAUAGUAGAUAAUGUAAGAAUGGUUAGCAAUCAUUAAAGAUGGG